UUUAUUUUUCAUCCCUCAUCCGCAAUUUGGGAGGCGGGUGGGGGGGGGGCUCUUUUAUCCCCCACUUGCGUGUGUUAAUCACGUGCUAAUUAUGCAUAACAAGAAAAGAAAGGGACAGGCUAUUAUUGCGUUUGUGGCCGGUGGCGAUAUGCACCCAGCCAGAAUUGUUCGUCGAGCUAAAAUACUUGGAAUUAUUGCUGGGCAGCAGCAGCAGCAGAAAAAAGAUGAAAUAACCUUGAGCCUAAUGCGCCCUCGGUCGUGGAUGUCUCUCCCACCGUGUGUUGCAGGUGCACACACACACACCACUGGGCCCGUUGUUGAUGGCGCACUCUCGUUUGAGGCCGCACAUAAAAUAUGUGUAACACGUCAAGUGAUCCAUAUUUCGACAUCCCUCCUCCCCCACAAUUUGAUUCCAUUUGCAUUGCAUAAUGAGUCUGGCUGACAAAAAAAUACGAAAAUUGGCCAAUGCCACAGAAUAAUUCAGAAACGGAUUGUUGGCCAGGGCUCUGCUCACAGACGGAUGACGGAUGAAAUUUCAUUUUAUUUUAUUUCUUUCUUUCUGGAUUUUUAUUUUAUUUUAUUGAUGGCGAUGAGGAAACGUGAGGGCAUUGUCUGCUGCCGGCGUUUAGAUUAAACACGAGAGGGGGGAAACCAAAAAAUAUAUUAUUUAUAUAAUAAUAUAAAAAUCUCACGACGGCCAUCGACGGUAUGGCCGGGCUGGAUGCGACCUUCACCUCCUUCUUCGGAAAAAACUAAAAAAACUCGAGAGGAAUAAAUAUAUCCUGAAACAUUCCAGCUGGACUCCAUCAGAGGUAACGAGAAGAAAAAGUUUAGCUUCAGCUUAUUUUUUGGUGCCCUUGAUGAUGGGGGCUGGUUAGAAGCUUGUCAGUCCCUGUCAAGUGUUUUUUCUUGAAUGUUCUAAAUGUGUUGCGAGCGUUCAGUUAUUCUUUUUCUUUUUAACCCUCCCCUAACUACUAAAGACGGCCCUGUCCGUCUGCUUUUUUUCUUUCUUUGUCUUUUGGUGGUUUCGCUUUCAAGGUUGAUGAGCUGGUCAAAGUGUCUGUUAUAGUGUCUGGACUUUUCUGUGAGUGUUUCUGAUCUCUUUGGCCCGUCAAGCGUGCUGCUGGGUUAAUCCGGUUACUGGAAUGACUUGGCAGAAACAUUUUCCAGUGACGAAAGAAAAAUGUUUCAAGGACUAACAACGCCUCGAUCCUUCCUCAUCUCCAUUGACCUACGAUUUCUUCACCUGGUGUGAAAUAUUUUGCUUUUACGUAACCACCCGCAUUUUGUUGGGUGCGCUCAAUUAUUUUUCGAUGAUUAAGAAUCUCAAUGAAAUCAAUCGAGUAGAUCAAAAUAAGAAAUUGCACCAUUGAAAUUCGAGUGGGGAUUAUUCGAUUGAUUUUGAGGGGUUUCAAUCUCGUGAAUUUAAAUCAAGUCACAAAUUGAAUUGGUUGAAAAUGCACCUCGGAGAAUGAUUAGAAAGUUGCUUGGAGGGGUUGGACCACCAACGACCCAAAAGGUCGAAAAUGCGCAGUGGGAACGGGAGCCAAGAAUUUGCUUGAAAGAAGAGAAAAAAAAAAUAAAUCUCUGAUGCGCAAUGCUCUUCUCUGAGGCUGAUGUUUUGCGCGCUGAUUUUUCUUUUUCUUUCUCGUCGUGUUAUUUUCACACGGCCAGCAAUUACGCACAAGUGAGAGUCUUCUUUUUUCAAAGCAGCAUUCCAUUAAGCUAUCGAUUCAUUAUUGCGGUACGUCAUUUAUUUUUAUUCUUCCCAACAACAACAACAA
rnacentral:lncRNA from 1 species